rnacentral:tRNA from 1 species
GGGAAUGUGGCUCAGUGGUAGAGUACUUGCCUUGCAUGCAUGAGGUCCUGGGUUCGAUUCUCAGCACCA